MUGCCUUACACAUGCAGUCGACGGCAGCACGGGUGCUUGCACCUGGUGGCGAGUGGCGAACGGGUGAGUAAUACAUCGGAACAUGUCCUGUAGUGGGGGAUAGCCCGGCGAAAGCCGGAUUAAUACCGCAUACGAUCUACGGAUGAAAGCGGGGGACCUUCGGGCCUCGCGCUAUAGGGUUGGCCGAUGGCUGAUUAGCUAGUUGGUGGGGUAAAGGCCUACCAAGGCGACGAUCAGUAGCUGGUCUGAGAGGACGACCAGCCACACUGGGACUGAGACACGGCCCAGACUCCUACGGGAGGCAGCAGUGGGGAAUUUUGGACAAUGGGCGAAAGCCUGAUCCAGCAAUGCCGCGUGUGUGAAGAAGGCCUUCGGGUUGUAAAGCACUUUUGUCCGGAAAGAAAUCCUUGGCUCUAAUACAGUCGGGGGAUGACGGUACCGGAAGAAUAAGCACCGGCAAACUACGUGCCAGCAGCCGCGGGUAAUACAA
rnacentral:rRNA from 1 species